rfam:Citrus sinensis cultivar Ridge Pineapple sweet orange scaffold00267_contig_13, whole genome shotgun sequence.
AUUUGAUGAUGAGGGCAAGAUGCACAUAGCUUCUUGAAUCUCUCCCAAUACUCGUACAAAAUUUCUCCAUUUUGCUGCCUUAUGCCACUUAUUUCCUUUCUAAUGUU